UCCGGUUUGGCACCGGCAGUCUCCCCAGAGUUCCCGGCAUGACCCGCUGGCAACUGAGGACAAGGGUUGCGCUCGUUGCGCCACUUAAGGCAACACCUCACGGCACGAGCUGACGACAGCCAUGUACCACCUGUGCAGGCUCCGUAGAGCACCCGCUUUCACGGGUUUCACCCUGCAUGUCAAGCCCAGGUAAGGUUCUUCGCGUCGCAUCGAAUUAAGCCGCAUGCUCCGCCGCUUGUGCAGGCCCCCGUCAAUUCCUUUGAGUUUUAGUCUUGCGACCGUACUCCCCAGGCGGGGCACUUAAUGCGUUAGCUGCGGCACGGAGCCCGUUGAUAAGGCCCCACACCUAGUGCCCAACGUUUACGGCGUGGACUAC
rnacentral:misc_RNA from 1 species